AGUGAACGCUGGCGGUAGGCCUAACACAUGCAAGUCGAACGGCAGCACAGUAAGAGCUUGCUCUUACGGGUGGCGAGUGGCGGACGGGUGAGGAAUACAUCGGAAUCUACUUUUUCGUGGGGGAUAACGUAGGGAAACUUACGCUAAUACCUCAUACUACCUACGGGUGAAAGCAGGGGAUCUUCGGACCUUGCGCGAUUGAAUGAGCCGAUGUCGGAUUAGCUAGUUGGCGGGGUAAAGGCCCACCAAGGCGACGAUCCGUAGCUGGUCUGAGAGGAUGAUCAGCCACACUGGAACUGAGACACGGUCCAGACUCCUACGGGAGGCAGCAGUGGGGAAUAUUGGACAAUGGGCGCAAGCCUGAUCCAGCCAUACCGCGUGGGUGAAGAAGGCCUUCGGGUUGUAAAGCCCUUUUGUUGGGAAAGAAAAGCAGCAGGUUAAUACCCCGCUGUUCUGACGGUACCCAAAGAAUAAGCACCGGCUAACUUCGUG
rnacentral:rRNA from 1 species